rnacentral:lncRNA from 1 species
UAUCUUUCUCUCUCUCUCUCUCUCUCUCUCUCUCUCUCUCUCUCUCUCUCUCUCUCUCUCGCUAUAUAUAUAUAUAUGUGUGUGUGUGUGUGUGUGUGUGUGUGUUAUAUAGGCUAAGUUUGGUUAAGAAAUAACGAAUAUUAGGAUAAAUUUUUUUAUUACUGGAUUGGCUUACUAUUUCGAAAUAAUAAGAAAUAAAAAUAAAUUUGUGUUUAAUUUGUAAUAGUAAUAUUUUUUUAGAAAUAAUUGAAAUUGUGUUCAAUUACUUUAUGGAAUAGUAGAUGAUAGCCGAAACAAUAGCCGAAACAAGUGAGGUUUGAAUUUGACGUAAAAUAUAAUCUAAUAAAAAUAAUUUGUUAAAAAUAAUUUAUUAAAAAUAUGAUUUAAUCACAAUAAUUUAUCAUAAAAAUAAUAUAUAUAGUCCGGCUGGGAUAUAUUGAUAGUACCAAGGAUUUAGUGCUAUUGAAUUUUUCACCGUUAGAUUUAACCCGUUGAUUAUUUUUUUUCGUUAGAUUAUACUAUUCAACCAACCACUCACUCAAUCCUAGCGGGACCCACAUCAUCCUAGCCACACAUUUCUCAAUCCAAGUUUUUACUCACUCAACCCUAACGGGACUAACAUCAUCCUAACCACACAUUUUUCAAUCCAAGGGUUAAAAAACUAAUAGCACCAAUAACUUGGUGUUAUUGAUAGUAUUUUAGCCUAUAUAUAUAUAUAUAUAGUGUAGAGUUACUAUACUAUCGGAAGCAUAAAGUAGUUGGUGCUUCCGAUUUUUUAGCCCUUGGAUCAAAGAUUUUACGGUUGGGAUGAU